rnacentral:rRNA from 1 species
UACGUAGGGUGCAAGCGUUGUCCGGAAUUAUUGGGCGUAAAGAGCUUGUAGGCGGUUUGUCGCGUCUGCUGUGAAAUUUCGGGGCUCAACCCCGAACUUGCAGUGGGUACGGGCAGACUAGAGUGUGGUAGGGGAGACUGGAAUUCCUGGUGUAGCGGUGAAAUGCGCAGAUAUCAGGAGGAACACCGAUGGCGAAGGCAGGUCUCUGGGCCACUACUGACACUGAGGCACGAAGGCCAGGGGAGCAAACGGG